rnacentral:lncRNA from 1 species
CAAACAAUUCUCUAACAACAACUCAAGAGGGCUAAAUUAUGGGCUGGCCAGUUCCCAUAACGUCGCAUUCCUCAAGCGCCAGAAAGUUAGGAUUAGAGUUUACAUCGCCACGCCGCGUCUGCGAAUCCCAAAUAAAAUUCUUUUGUUUUUUGUAUAAGUACUUAUUUUUUGUCGGAAGCGACCGGUGAGAUAUUAAGGCAAUGACGUAUCCGAAGGUGUAUUACUGGUUGCCUGGGGUCACAAAUUAUUUUUCCAAUUAGUUUGCUGAACAAAGUUAAAUUAUUGCUUCCUAGAUACUCGAAAUAGAAGGUAAAUUAAGGAUAAGAAAAUGACAUGUCAAUUUCUCAUAAUGAAUAGUUGGCUUCCAAUAUUGUAGAAGGACCAGAAAAAAAACAAUAAAAGUGUUCAGCUUCAAAUAAUACUGAAACAAUAACCAAAUCCUGCUUCGUAAGUAGUGUCCAAACCAAAUCACAGAAGUUCUAAAAAGGACCAAUCGCUUGUUUCAAGAUGAACUUAGAGCUAUGUACUGGCAAAAUUCAAGAUAUUUGUGGAAUAAUUACUAGAGAACGAUACAAAUAUUCGUAGAAAUGUGAUUAAAACUGUUGUGAGAUAUUGUAAUAAGCUUGUACGACCUGUUCAAAACAAAUGUACGUUCAAACUGAUCUGUAGUAAAAAGUAAAAAAUAGUCUUACAACGAAGAAAACUGUGUAAAUAAUUCACAUGAGAAAUUAUAUUGGAAAUAAUGAAGAUUACAAAUUCAGCAGGUUCCCCUAGACUUUGAGGAAAUGGCACUUAUUUCUCCAGCUGGCUUGAUCCAUUCGACUUUGUUAUAGGAUAAAAUUGUAAGCAAUCUUCCCCUAGAGGAAAUUCACAUACUGAAUCUUAACGGAGGCUGGGAAUCCUUAGAUCUGAUUUUCUCAUAAUAAUAAUCUAGAUAUUCCAACUUCUAGAUCCUGUUCUCCUGUGUAACUUUUAAAUCAAAAUACCAAAGAUGUGUUCAAUAUGAACAGUCAGAUACAGAGGAACUAUGGAAGGUUGAGGCACAGUCAUGCGGCAGCUAUUGGGUUUACCAAGAUUAUUCUUAAGAUAAAAUUGUAAGCGGUGACUAAUUCUAGAUUUUAGUAAUUAUCCUGCGCAUCCGCCAUUUUCUUCAGAAGUAUUUAAUUUUCCUGAAAAUUUCGAAGCCAUACAAAAAUGGUUUUUACUCUGAACUACCUCGAAUUAAAUUUCUAUCGGCCAAUCGAAUAUCGUCGAAGAACGAGAAAGAACAAUAAAAGCAGUGUCCCACAUCACAGAAGCCCCAAAAAAGAGCGGGCUUGUUUCAGGACGAACUUAGAACUAUGUACUGGCAAAAUUCAAGAUAUUUGUGGGAUAAUUAAUAGAGAACAAUACAAAUAUUCAUAGAAAUGUGAUUAAAAAUUGACAUUAUUUGGCUAAUUUGUGAAAUAUCAUA